CGUAGGGGGCGAGCGUUGUCCGAAGUUAUUGGGCGUAAAGCGCGCGUAGGCGGGGGGUUAAGUGAGAGGUGAAAGGCUGGGGCUCAACCUCAUGCAGUGCCUCUCAUACUGGCCUUCUUGAGGGCGGUAGGGAGAAGUGGAAUGGCUGGUGUAGCGGUGAAAUGCGUAGAUAUCAGUCGGAACACCGGUGGCGAAGGCAAUCCCCUGGACCUGUACUGACGCUCAUGCACGAAAGCGUGGGGAGCAAACAGGAUUAGAUACCCUGGUAGUCCACGCCCUAAACGAUGUCAACUGGUUGUUGGGUCUUUACUGACUCAGUAACGCAGCUAACGCGUGAAGUUGACCGCCUGGGGAGUACGGCCGCAAGGUUG
rnacentral:rRNA from 1 species